UUUCUUCUGUUUUCUGUUUUCACCGACGGCAAAGUUCAAAGGGUUUUUGGUUUGGGCUCGCGGCCGGCGCCCGCCCGCCGGAGCGGGGGGGCUGCCCGGCCGAAGCGGAGGCCAGAUGAUUUCGCACGGGAUGGAGUGAGGGGCGGGGCCCGCUCGCUCUGUGAAUGAUCCUUCCGCAGGUUCACCUACGGAAA
rnacentral:misc_RNA from 1 species